rnacentral:lncRNA from 1 species
UAGGAGCCAGAUAAUUAAUCCAACAUUUAUCUGAAAUGCUGAACUAACUUGCAUAAUUCUUCAAAUGAAUAUCACACCUUCGAUGGGGACAUACAAAUUGUUUCAACCUGAGGCUUGAAAAUAUGUGUCAUAAAGCAUUCUGAUUUAUCAAGAACACGUUGUAAUUUGUUGCAUUUGGAAUGUAGCUACCUAACUUCCUGAAUAUUUUAAUAAAAUACCUGUAAAAUUACACAAUCAAAACUAUACCUCCACCAAGCAAAGUGACAGAGAUGGUACUAACAUCAACAAAAAGGAACAUCUGUGUGGCUGCCAACUUCUACUGAAAUCUGUAGCAUGCUUUUUUAGAAGUGGAGGAAAAAAGAAUAAAAAACCUGAGGGAGAAAACGAGAGCAAAGAGAGAUUAAGUUGUCAAAGAUCACUCAGGAAGUGUGUAUGAAAAAUACUAGACAGGUCUUUCACUUGGAGACUUGUGUACUACAGCACACAUUUGAUUUACUUGGGCAGAACCACUUAAUCACUGGGUAUUGGCUUUG